rnacentral:lncRNA from 1 species
UGGCGGAAGUUUUGAGCGGAGAGAUGCUGUUGAAGGAGGUCAAGGGAAAAGGUUUGUGAAGUUGAGGGAGUAGUGGAAGUGGUAGGGGAGAUAGAAAAGGUGGUGGUGGUGGUGGGGGUGGUGGUAGAGGAGGAGGAAAUGGAGAGGGAGAGAGAUGUGUUGGUGGUGGUUGGUUUGAGGAAAAGAGAAGAGGGUGUGGUGGUGUCUGAAUGUUGGAGCUUGAGGAGGGAAUGGUGGUUGUGGUGGAGGGAUUGUAGAGAAUUGGUGGCCAUAAGAAAGAGAGAGAGUGAGA